CAGCGGGACGUUGGCUGCCGUGCCAUGCCAUGGGGAGGAGCCAGCCUUUGGAUGUCAGCCUUUGGAUGCCAGCCACGUGUUAGGUGGCCAAAUGAGAACUACAAACAUCCUGGCGGUGGAUGCCUCCUCCCCUCUAAGCCUGUCUCUGCCCUCGUCUCCAACCCUAAAGCAGCCCAGAGCCGCGGUGGGGAGGGGCUGGAGCAGGAGCAGACUAGCCCCCCACCCAGUGCUGGCUCCCAAACCUCGGGUCUGCCCGAGCUGAGGGCGAGAGACGAGCUCUGACUUCCUGAGGGACUGGCAUGUUUAUUUAGGUUUAGUCAAAGCCCUAAGUCUGCCCAGAAAGCUGCUCAACAAGUCACUCAAGGGGUGAAGAAGGGAAAUCCUAUUUGGAGCGUGUUUUUAGGAGGUGCUGGAGUGGGAAGGUGUUCAUUGCCCCGAAGUUAUCAUCUGGACUGCCCAGCUCUGAGAUACACCAACACAAACCGAAACAGAGGACCGGUCAUUUUACAACCGCUUCCAAGAGGCCAGACUGACUGACUGUGUUUCCAGUGGAGGAAUUUCCUGGCUGAAGGCGCGAAGCGUUUCAACACAGAAGAGCCAGGAAAUAGGAAAGAGGGCAGAGCUUCAAACCAUGGGAGGCAGGGCAGAGGGCCACUGGCUCACUUCCUGUUUGGCCAGCGAUCUGUGGGCAAGGAUUCUAAAGGGCUUUGUGCCAUUUUCUCUAUUUUUGAAAUG